UGUUGUAGGUCAGAGAGCUGAUGCUGAGGAUGACAGUUUCCAAGGGGUUCCAAGUGAGAACAUCAAUUGCUGCUGCAGGGCUCAGUGGGAGAGAAGCCUAGUGUGAGAGAAGGAGCAGUGAAUCCAGGAGGCCUCCCUUGUGUGGUGAAGAUGAGCAGCUACUGAUAAAGGACACUGCAUCAAAAGCAUCCAGAGGAGGGCCACAGGAUGGUGAAGUGUCUGGAGGUGAAGCCGAAUGCGAAGCGGCUGAGGUCACUGGGUCUGUUCAGCCUGGACAAGAGGAGACUGAGGGCAGACUCACUGCAGUUACAGCUUCCUCCGAGGGGAAGAGGAGGGACAGGCAUUGAUCUCUUCACUCUGGGGAGGAUUAGUUUUAGUUUUAACAGAGGUACAGUCUGAAAACUGAAGGAAGAAACUAUUUAUGGAGGUAAGUUAAGA